rnacentral:pre_miRNA from 1 species
UAAAAUGCUAUUCUGUCAUUGUGAUAGUUCAUAUGGGCACUGACAGGAGAGCAUUUUAAU